AAUAAGUUGCCUGAAAAAAAGGAUUAUUUUGAUAGAAUAAAUUAUAUGAAUAUUUCAUACUUAUUA
rnacentral:tRNA from 1 species